UAGGGAAUAUUGCUUAAUGGGCGAAAGCCUGAAGCAGCAACGCCGCGUGGACGAAGAAGGCCUUCGGGUUGUAAAGUUCUUUUAUAUGGGAUGAGGAAGGACAGUACCAUAUGAAUAAGUCUCGGCUAACUACGUGCCAGCAGCCGCGGUAAAACGUAGGAGACGAGCGUUAUCCGGAUUUACUGGGCGUAAAGAGCGUGUAGGAGGCAAUACAAGUCGGAUGUAAAAGCUCUCGGCUAAACUGAGAGAGGACGUUCAAGACUGUAGAGCUAGAGGAAGGCAGAGGUAGAUGGAACUCCGGGAGUAGUGGUGAAAUGCGUAGAUAUCCGGAAGAACACCAGAGGCGAAAGCGGCCUCCUGGACCACUCCUGACACUCAGACGCGAAAGCUAGGGUAGCAAACG
rnacentral:rRNA from 1 species